rnacentral:lncRNA from 1 species
ACACAGCCUGCCUCUAGACCAGCAGGCUCUGAACAUCCUGGUCUGGCCAGAUGCCACACGGCACCAGCUUCUCACUACCCGUGCUCUCCUGGCUUUCCUCUGAUGCCAGGAGGCCAGUUCUCUUCAUGAGAAUCUUGCCCCUCUGGUGGUGACUGUUUUUGUUGUUUGGGGCUGGUGGGGUGGAGGACAGCUGCUCUGGGAGGUUUGUCCCUGAGAAAGGGGACUUGUCACACAGGUAUGUCACGAGCUUCA